rnacentral:rRNA from 1 species
AUACGGAGGUUGCAAGCGUUACUCGGAAUCACUGGGCGUAAAGCGCGCGCAGGCGGCUUGAUAAGUUGGAUGUGAAAGCCUACGGCUCAACCGUAGAACUGCAUCCAAAACUGUCAGGCUAGAGUGUGGGAGAGGAAGAUGGAAUUAGUUGUGUAGGGGUAAAAUCCGUAGAGAUAACUAGGAAUACCAAAAGCGAAGGCAAUCUUCUGGAACACUACUGACGCUGAGGCGCGAAGGCGUGGGGAGCAAACAGGAUUAGAUACCCUAGUAGUCC